rnacentral:rRNA from 2 species
CCCUUCGGGGUGUGACUGCGUACCUUUUGUAUAAUGGGUCAGCGACUUAUAUUCUGUAGCAAGGUUAACCGUAUAGGGGAGCCGGAGGGAAACCGAGUCUUAACCGGGCGUUAAGUUGCAGGGUAUAGACCCGAAACCCGGUGAUCUAGCCAUGGGCAGGUUGAAGGUUGGGUAACACUAACUGGAGGACCGAACCGACUAAUGUUGAAAAAUUAGCGGAUGACCUGUGGCUGGGGGUGAAAGGCCAAUCAAACCGGGAGAUAGCUGGUUCUCCCCGAAAGCUAUUUAGGUAGCGCCUCGUGAAUUCAUCUCCGGGGGUAGAGCACUGUUUCGGCUAGGGGGCCAUCCCGGCUUACCAACCCGAUGCAAACUGCGAAUACCGGAGAAUGUUAUCACGGGAGACACACGGCGGGUGCUAACGUCCGUCGUGAAGAGGGAAACAACCCAGACCGCCAGCUAAGGUCCCAAAGUCAUGGUUAAGUGGGAAACGAUGUGGGAAGGCCCAGACAGCCAGGAUGUUGGCUUAGAAGCAGCCAUCAUUUAAAGAAAGCGUAAUAGCUCACUGGUCGAGUCGGCCUGCGCGGAAGAUGUAACGGGGCUAAACCAUGCACCGAAGCUGCGGCAGCGAACGUAUCACCCAAGACAACUUUACGGAGUUGACGAUUGACGGAGCGAAGCGACGUCAAAGCGUUCAUUAAAGUCGAGUUGGCUUAGGGAUACGUUCGUUGGGUAGGGGAGCGUUCUGUAAGCCUGUGAAGGUGUGUCGUGAGGCAUGCUGGAGGUAUCAGAAGUGCGAAUGCUGACAUAAGUAACGAUAAAGCGGGUGAAAAGCCCGCUCGCCGGAAGACCAAGGGUUCCUGUCCAACGUUAAUCGGGGCAGGGUGAGUCGACCCCUAAGGCGAGGCCGAAAGGCGUAGUCGAUGGGAAACGGGUUAAUAUUCCCGUACUUGGUGUUACUGCGAAGGGGGGACGGAGAAGGCUAUGUUGGCCGGGCGACGGUUGUCCCGGUUUAAGCGUGUAGGUGUGUGUUCCAGGUAAAUCCGGUUCACUUUAACACUGAGGCGUGACGACGAGGCACUACGGUGCUGAAGCAACAAAUGCCCUGCUUCCAGGAAAAGCCUCUAAGCAUCAGGUAACACGAAAUCGUACCCCAAACCGACACAGGUGGUCAGGUAGAGAAUACCAAGGCGCUUGAGAGAACUCGGGUGAAGGAACUAGGCAAAAUGGUGCCGUAACUUCGGGAGAAGGCACGCUGACACGUAGGUGAAGUGAUUUACUCAUGGAGCUGAAGUCAGUCGAAGAUACCAGCUGGCUGCAACUGUUUAUUAAAAACACAGCACUGUGCAAACACGAAAGUGGACGUAUACGGUGUGACGCCUGCCCGGUGCCGGAAGGUUAAUUGAUGGGGUCAGCGUAAGCGAAGCUCCUGAUCGAAGCCCCGGUAAACGGCGGCCGUAACUAUAACGGUCCUAAGGUAGCGAAAUUCCUUGUCGGGUAAGUUCCGACCUGCACGAAUGGCGUAAUGAUGGCCAGGCUGUCUCCACCCGAGACUCAGUGAAAUUGAACUCGCUGUGAAGAUGCAGUGUACCCGCGGCAAGACGGAAAGACCCCGUGAACCUUUACUAUAGCUUGACACUGAACAUUGAGCCUUGAUGUGUAGGAUAGGUGGGAGGCUUUGAAGUGUGGACGCCAGUCUGCAUGGAGCCGACCUUGAAAUACCACCCUUUAAUGUUUGAUGUUCUAACGUGGACCCGUAAUCCGGGUUGCGGACAGUGUCUGGUGGGUAGUUUGACUGGGGCGGUCUCCUCCUAAAGAGUAACGGAGGAGCACGAAGGUUGGCUAAUCCUGGUCGGACAUCAGGAGGUUAGUGCAAUGGCAUAAGCCAGCUUGACUGCGAGCGUGACGGCGCGAGCAGGUGCGAAAGCAGGUCAUAGUGAUCCGGUGGUUCUGAAUGGAAGGGCCAUCGCUCAACGGAUAAAAGGUACUCCGGGGAUAACAGGCUGAUACCGCCCAAGAGUUCAUAUCGACGGCGGUGUUUGGCACCUCGAUGUCGGCUCAUCACAUCCUGGGGCUGAAGUAGGUCCCAAGGGUAUGGCUGUUCGCCAUUUAAAGUGGUACGCGAGCUGGGUUUAGAACGUCGUGAGACAGUUCGGUCCCUAUCUGCCGUGGGCGCUGGAGAACUGAGGGGGGCUGCUCCUAGUACGAGAGGACCGGAGUGGACGCAUCACUGGUGUUCGGGUUGUCAUGCCAAUGGCACUGCCCGGUAGCUAAAUGCGGAAGAGAUAAGUGCUGAAAGCAUCUAAGCACGAAACUUGCCCCGA